rnacentral:lncRNA from 10 species
GUUAGUUCGGCCCAAUGGCGGCACCGCUGCUUCACACGUUGUUUGUCGGGAGAUGCGGCCGCUUCGUCCUCUGCAGUCAAGACGCUGGGCGCGUCGAGGACUGGCUUCUACUUGAAUGAAGACAAAAAUCUAGGCCGGGCGCGGUUGCUCACGCCUGUAAUCCCAGCACUUUGGGAGGCCGAGGUGGGCGGAUCACCUGAAGUCAGGAGUUCGAGACCAGCCUGGCCAACAUGCGAAACCUCGUCUCUACUGAAAAUAUAAAAAUUAGCCAGGCGUGGUGGCAGGUGCCUGUAAUCCCAGCUACUCAGGAGGCUGAGGCAGGAGAAUUGCUUGAACCCGGAGAUGGAGGUUGCAGUUAAGCUGAGAUCACACCACUGCACUCCAGCCUGGGCAGCAGAGCAAGACUCCAUCUCAAAAAAAAAAAAAAAUCCAGCCACGUAGAGAUUUGGGAAAAGAGUAUUUCCAAUAGAGUGAACAGUAAGUGAAAUGAGAAACAGCUUGGCUUGUUUGAAGAGCAGAAAAGACAUGAUGGCUGUAGUAAAACAAGUUGUUGGAGAUGAGGUGAGAGAGGUAGGCGGGGGCCAGAUUAAUGUAGGAUUUUAAAGACCACACUGAGAGAUUUGGAUUGUUACUGUAAGUGCAGUGGGAAGACAGUUAUUGGUUGCUGAGCAAAGGAGGGAUUGUUGGUUAAGAGUGGAAGCAGGGAGACCAGUAAAGAGGCCUUAACAAUAGUCCCACU